ensembl:lincRNA
AGCUUCGACUCAGCAAGGUCACUGUUCAGACUUGACUCGUGAUUGGCUGCUGCGCUUCAGCGUGUUAUUACUGUCUGAUUUGAUCGGAGGCAGGGGGUGGUCUCCAAUCAAACAGAGAAAAGGUCCUAGAGAAGAUCUGGAAACUACCCAACUGACCCAGAGUGAUACCAGGAGCUCAGUGCAAGCACAUGCAGAGGUUCCCCAAAGAUGGGGCCAAUAUCAAGUCUCCGCAGGUAAUAAAGCCUUUGUCAUCUGUCAUCAAGAGUCCAUUUCUCCAUCCUUUAAUUCUGGACUGGACUUGUAAGAUUUUUGGCCAAUCAAAUGAGCCAGAAAGGACAUCAAGCUGCUACUGAACAGAGAUCUUAAGAAGUCUUGCAGCUUUCUUUGUGUCACUAUCAGAACACUUCUACUUGUGAACAGACUGAGUGGAGCUGAGGGGAGAUGGAGACCAUGUGGAGCAGAAAUAAGCAGACCAGCUGAGAUCCAACCACCAGAUGAAUGAAUGAGGACAUUCUACGCUUUCCGUCCCCAGCAGGGCUGCCAACUACAAAGAUCAGCUGAUUCCACUUAGACCAGGCAUUAUGGGCUGUCUCAGUCAUCUCAGUCAACUCACAGAACACGAGCUAGAUAAUAAAUAUUUGUGGUUUUUAGGUACUAGGUUGUGGGACACUUGGAUCAUCUUUUCCUUUUGAUAUAUAAAUUCUAUCACUAUCCUUGAAUAUUUCAGUGUCCAUAUAGAGAUUUUACAGACAUCCUUUAUUACAUGAUUUGGCUUCUUUGAAGAACUUUACCUUCAUCUUUAAAAAAGUACAGCUUGAUACCUAUCUAUCUAUAUAUACACACUACUAUGUAUAACAUAGAUAACUGCUGCUGCUGCUAAGUCGCUUCAGUCGUGUCCGACUCUCUGUGACCCCAUAGAUGGCAGCCCACUAGGCUCCUCUGUCCCUGGGAUUCUCCAGGCAAGAAUACUGGAGUGGGUUGCCAUUUCCUUCUCCAGUGCGUGAGAGUGAAAAGUGAAAGUGAAGUCGCUCAGUCGUGCAUGACUCUUAGCAACCCCGUGGACUGGAGCCUACCAGCCUCCUCUGUCCACGGGAUUUUCCAGGCAAGAAUACUGGAGUGGGGUGCCAUUGCCUUCUCCAUAACAUAGAUAACUAAUGAAUACUAAUUCAUUAGUGAAUAACUACUGAUACUAAUGAAUACUGUAUAGCACUGGGAACUAUACUCAAUACUCAUGCUCUCUUAGGCAGCACGUAUACUAUACUCAAUACUCUGUGGUGACCUAAAUGGGAAAGAAGUCUAAAAAAGAGGGGAGGUAUGUAUAUGUGUAACUGAUUCUCUUUACUGUACAGCAGAAACUAACACAACAUUGUAAAGCAACUAUACUCCAAUAAAAAUUUUAAAAAUUACAGCUAACAUUAAUGAUUAGGAUAUGGAGAAAGAGACAGAAAGGGUAAAAGGGAGUGGGACCAAGUCUCAAGACUGAUCUAAAGAGCUGAAAUGUUUUCAGAUUGGCAGGAGAAGUGAUGGCCAGGCAAGAGGGAAACUUCCUGUGGAAAGAUAGUCAAGUUUAGACAGUUUAAUCAAACUUCCCUGUCUGAAAAAUAUCUUCCCCUCAAUCUGCCAAGGGCCAAACUUCCCCAAAUAAAUACCCAAGCGAAAAAAAAAAAAAAAAAGAACAAGGCUUGACUCAAAUAGGUUGUAAUUAAAUAGUGUCUAUAAUAAUAGGGUCUCAAUCUAACAGUGGUGUGAUAGCAAUGCAUUUCUUUCCUUUGUAAAAUAAUCAACCCUUGCGUUCUGAAGAGAUAAGAUGUCAAGAGAUGUAUGUCAGCGCCUACCAGGGAAGAGAAGGGGGUGAUCAUUCCCAAGUGGUGGUAAAGGUAAAAAGAAGGAAAUAAUAUUGGGUUAAUGGGAAAGGGAAGAUAAAUAUUGCAAGCUUGUAUACCUGGUAUAGAAUAGGCAUUAACAGUGGCAGAAGAUGCUGAAGA